UCCACCGAAAUUUUGUCUUUACUUCCGUACUUCGGUCCUUAGCGUAUCGUUGUAUAAAAGUAAUGAAACCCUAAUUGUUUAAAUCGUUUGAGUAAUUCAAACACAAUAGGAGAAGUAGACAACUACAGAAGUAACCAGGGAUGAUCUAUAUUACUAAGCGUAGUAAGUACCAUAGAAUUCAACCUUGGACGUUAUUAAAGUACAAGCUUCUACUUGAAAACGUUGAAGCAGAUGUAUGGCCACGAUCGAUUACACCGUAAUCCAUACCCAAACUAGAUAAAAUUACCUACCUCAUCUACUACAAAUAUGGCAAUCGAGUCAAUAACUGAAUAACAUGUUCAAGUCAACGAUGAUAGCCGUUUGACAACGGACAUUCAAUAUUUCUUAACUGACCCCCGUUUUACAACAAUGAAGACCACGCUCAAAUAAAACAGGUUCGGAGGGUAGAACUACCCUAUAGAACGUUAUCACUACAAAUGAAAACCUCUUUCUUCUACAGUUAAAAAAAGAUAUAUUAGUAACUGUAUGUGUAUUUCCGCGUAAGUCUUACGUACUUUAAGUGGACCUCUUCCAGUUAAGAGGAGUGUCUUGGACGCUUUGGAAAGUCGUAAGGUUUAUACCGGAAUUAACGGUACGACAUAAUU
rnacentral:rRNA from 1 species